UCCAAGUCCGAAUCUAUAUGGUUCUUUGAGCCAACAAGUGAAACAGUUUAAGUGAAGUUACCGUGAAAGAUUCAAGUCUGAAUCUGUUUAAGGUUCUUUGAGCCAACAAGUGAAACAGUUUAAGUGAAGUUACCGUGAAAGAUUCAAGUCUGAAUCUGUUUAAGGUUCUUUGAACCAACAAGUGAAACAGUUUUAGUGAAGUGAACCUGCGAUGUGCAACACGACGGCGUGGCGUGACGGGAGAGGAACACUAUCAAGACUGCAGCGACACGGUGUAAUUCUGUGCUCCUGACAUUUUUGUAUUUUAAUGUUGGAAAAUAAAGUCAUUUUGGAAAAAGUCUCGUAACAAAUCAGAAGGGGAUUAUUUCACGUGCUAAUUAGUGAAAUUUGUGUGGCGUUGGUAAAAGUGCGGCGAAGUUAUUGUCAAGGACAUUUUACCGGCGGGUAGAGUCCGUGCAAGAAAAGGCGAUAACGGACUAAAAAAGCGAUAACGAAACAAAGAAAAGGCGGUUGUGUAACAAGGUCACAUAUGGUGUGGCAGACAGAAUUUGGCGUAAUUUCUCAAAAUGUCCGAAAUGACAGACGGGCGAUAAGGAAGGAAUUUUCUUGACCAUGGUGGAGGAAUUGGAGUUGGAUGAGGCGGCUUCGGUGACGGUUUCUGCGGCGGUUUAGGUGACGUCAGGGGAUUAAAUUGCUCGUAGCCUGGAGCACCUGUUGGAGUGAUUCGAAGGCGCAGAAGAUAGUCACUGCGUUGACUUCUGGAGUCACAUCGAAAGAUGUUAAGGUGGUGUAUAAGGUGAAUACGGGCGAGGCUGGCGCAAGAGUUCUGGAGUAACAUCGAAAGAUAUUAACGUGGUGUAUAAGGUUUAAACGGGCGAGGUAGGCGCAAGACCCGGCGAGGCAGGCGCAAGACCCGGCGAGGCAGGCGCAAGGCGAGGUAGGCGCAAGACUCGGCGAGGCUGGCAUAAGUUACCGUGAAAGAUUCAAGUCUGAAUUUGUUUAUGGUUCUUGGAACCAGGAAGUGAAACAGUUUAAGUGAAGUUACCGAGAAAGAUUCAAGUCUGAAUCUCUUGAUGGUUCUUUGAGCCAAGAAGUGUAGCUGUUUAAGUGAAGUUAUGUCAUUUUUAUUCAUUCCAAACCAAUUAAUCUAACAAUAUAUACAUACUUUAUAACUCCAUAAUUAGUGCACCAUGAACCAGCUGAAUCAUUUCUGGUUAUACCAAAACAAAAAUAAUUCUUCAAUAAAUUUUUGAUUUAUUUGAUUCGAUUUAUAAUAUGAUGUUAUAUUCUUCUUGUUUUCAUUCUCAUAUAAACCAACAAUCUCGUUUAAAGUGUCUUAUCUUUUGGCAAAAAUUACAUUUUUUCUUCUCGGCACCUACCUAUAAUGCUGCUUUCAUCAUUUUUUUCUCUUAAUUUUAUGCAGCCGCAAGCACUGUUAAUUAGCUGCUGCUGCUUCCAUUCUUGUAUUAAAUUUUUGUAAAUACAUAAUAGUUUCUUGGAAGAAGAGGGAAUUUGUUACGAAGGGUAACAGAAAAAGUUGCCAUAGCGUGAGUGCAUUUUAAUUUUUAAGUUUUGCAUUUUUGUAUUAAUUAAAAUUGUUCAAUUUAUUAUCACUUGAAAUAAAAACAGUCUUUUUUUUCUCAAA